rnacentral:rRNA from 1 species
GGAUUAGAUACCCUGGUAGUCCUAGCUGUAAACGAUGGGCACUGGGUAGGGGGGGUGUCAAUUCCCUCCCUGCCGAAGCUAACGUGAUAAGUGCCCCGCCUGGGGAGUACGGUCGCAAGGCUAAAACUCAAAGGAAUUGACGGGGGCUCACACAAGCGGUGGAGCAUGUGGUUUAAUUCGAAACAACGCGAAGAACCUUACCCGGGUUUGAAAUCCAUGGAUACCUCCUACGAAAGUAGGUCGGGUUGCCCUCCGGGGUGAAACGUGGACAGGUGUUGCAUGGCUGUCGUCAGCUCGUGCCG